UUGGCUGACAGGAAGCCAAUACUUUUUGAAUGAGUCAAUGCCUUGAAACUACCGGUGUUUUCGCUCAGAAUUGUUCGCGGCGUUCGUUUGGAAAUUGUGGAUGUGAGGAGGGCAAACGUUUGGGGUUGCUGAAGAUUGGAGCGGCAUCAGCCACAGAAGCAAGCCCAAUACCAGCGUCGACACACACCUGGAGAGACUCAUCAAUGCUGGCCAACGCUCGAUUGGGGCUGUCUUCUGCUUCUGAAAAAAAGAGAAAGAAGUCGUCCUUCGUCUUCCUGCCAACGACAAAACGCACAACGGCGUCAAUAAUGGAACAAAAAAAGUUUGGAACUUGACCAAAGAGUCGUACAGCUAAAUUUUAUAAUCCCAUCCAGGCUUUAGGAAGAAAGGAGAGUGACUUCAAUUUGACACCUUCCUUUUAGGACAAGUCCUGAAGGUAAAUGUGGCCUAGAACAGGAAACCACAGAGCCGGCCGGCCGUCUCUGUAGUGUUACAGCCGACAGUAUCUUUGUGUUUUAUUGUACUUUGAAUAAUUUGACUCGUAAUUAAAAAAUGUUUCUAUUAUACAUUUAAAACGUGGAUUUUCAUUACUUUUUACAAAAAUCAGUCCAGUCGGUCCACUAAACAGACUAGACAUAACCUUGUGUAAUUUUGUAGCACUGACUUGCUUUGUAAUCACAUUUGGCAGGAACGACGUUGCCAAUCGGCUUUGUUCCGCAUCAAUUUAAUCAUUUUAAUGUCCGGGGCUUUAUGGCAACACACCUACGGUGGAACACAGUGUGCUAGUGUAUGUCUUUAUUGAAACACAGAGAGUCUAUAUAAAAAUAAAUAUAUAUAUAACAUUACAGGGAAAAAAGGUCAGGCUAUGAUUUACAUAAUCAUCCAAAAUAAUUUUUAAAUUUUUCUCUUUUCUUUCUCAUAAAUAUAUUAUGCGGUAAUUUAUUUGAACAGAAUUUUUUUUAUAGUUCAAGAAUAGUCUAUAUAUAUUUGCUAUAGAAUUGCUUGUGUGGUGGCAACGGUGUAUGAGGCACCUCACAGUUGAGUCGAGUCUCAACACUAAGAUUUUCAUUUCCGCUGACACUUCCUGCUUCAACUUUGGUCUAGUGUUCUAGUACUUUUUGUUAAUAUACAAUACAUAUAAAUCAUCAGAUGAACAAAAUAACUGGUGUGUGACUCGACUGGCUUAUGAAUAUAUUUCUGAAGAGAGCACUUUACUCUUUAUUGGUAUUGGAAAUCUUGUUUUUAAGUGUUUGACUUCAUGUUAAAAAAAAAAA